UCCCAGACUCCUACGGGAGGCAGCAGUGGGGGAUAUUGCACAAUGGGGGAAACCCUGAUGCAGCGACGCCGCGUGGGUGAAGAAGCGCCUCGGCGCGUAAAGCCCUGUCAGCAGGGAAGAAAAUGACGGUACCUGAAGAAGAAGCCCCGGCUAACUACGUGCCAGCAGCCGCGGUAAUACGUAGGGGGCAAGCGUUAUCCGGAUUUACUGGGUGUAAAGGGAGCGUAGACGGAGAAGCAAGUCUGAAGUGAAAGCCCGUGGCUUAACCACGGGACUGCUUUGGAAACUGUUUGACUAGAGUGCUGGAGAGGUAAGUGGAAUUCCUAGUGUAGCGGUGAAAUGCGUAGAUAUUAGGAGGAACACCAGUGGCGAAGGCGGCUUACUGGACAGUAACUGACGUUGAGGCUCGAAAGCGUGGGGAGCAAACAGGAUUAGAUACCCUAGUA
rnacentral:rRNA from 1 species